UACGUAGGGCGCAAGCGUUGUCCGGAAUUAUUGGGCGUAAAGAGCUCGUAGGCGGUUUGUCGCGUCGGCUGUGAAAUCCUGGGGCUUAACUCCGGGCCUGCAGUCGAUACGGGCAGACUUGAGUGUGGUAGGGGAGACUGGAAUUCCUGGUGUAGCGGUGAAAUGCGCAGAUAUCAGGAGGAACACCGGUGGCGAAGGCGGGUCUCUGGGCCAUUACUGACGCUGAGGAGCGAAAGCGUGGGGAGCGAACAGG
rnacentral:rRNA from 1 species